rnacentral:rRNA from 1 species
AUUGAACGCUGGCGGCAUGCUUUACACAUGCAAGUCGAACGGCAGCACGGGGGUAACCUUGGUGGCGAGUGGCGAACGGGUGAGUAAUAUAUCGGAACAUAUCCGGAAGUGGGGGAUAACGUACCGAAAGGUACGCUAAUACCGCAUAUGCCCUGAGGGGGAAAGGAGGGGAUCGUAAGACCUUUCGCUCUCGGAGUGGCCGAUAUCGGAUUAGCUAGUUGGUGAGGAAGAGGCUCACCAAGGCGACGAUCCGUAGCUGGUCUGAGAGGACGACCAGCCACACUGGAACUGAGACACGGUCCAGACUCCUACGGGAGGCAGCAGUGGGGAAUUUUGGACAAUGGGGGAAACCCUGAUCCAGCCAUGCCGCGUGAGUGAAGAAGGCCUUCGGGUUGUAAAGCUCUUUCAGCCGGAAAGAAAGCGCACAGGUUAAUACCUUGUGUGGAUGACGGUACCGGAAGAAGAAGCACCGGCCAACUACGUGCCAGCCGCCGCAGUAAUAC